ACAAGAUUAAGUUAAGUUAGACUUUAUGUUUUCAAAACAUAAUGUGGUUUUAUAUGGCCAUCUUGUG
rnacentral:tRNA from 1 species